GCGGGAAUAGCUCAGUUGGUAGAGCACGACCUUGCCAAGGUCGGGGUCGCGAGUUCGAGUCUCGUUUUCCGUU
rnacentral:tRNA from 1 species